rfam:Burkholderiales bacterium YL45, complete genome.
CGACAGGGGUAGUAACAACGAAUGGCAAGAAGUCAGCAGAGGUCAUAGUACCCAAGAGUAAGGGGGGAAGGAC